rnacentral:rRNA from 1 species
UGGGUAACCUGCCCAAGAGAUCGGGAUAACACCUGGAAACAGAUGCUAAUACCGGAUAACAACAGAUGAUGCCUAUCAACUGUUUAAAAGAUGGUUCUGCUAUCACUCUUGGAUGGACCUGCGGUGCAUUAGCUAGUUGGUAGGGUAACGGCCUACCAAGGCGNUUAUGCAUAGCCGAGUUGAGAGACUGAUCGGCCACAUUGGGACUGAGACACGGCCCAAACUCCUACGGGAGGCAGCAGGG